CAAAACUGCAGGAGGAAGAACAUCUGCUUUUGGAGAUAUGGAGAGAAAGGAGGCUGACUAAUAUGAAGGAAUUUGGGGGACUUCUAUGCAACACUCAUCACCUCAGGAAAACCUUCUUCCGUAGUGAAGUUCUCCUAACUGCAACUGAAUUGUUCUUCCCGUAGAACUGCUUUGGGGGAAAGCUAAGGAAAUUUCCUUAAAAUACUUUUCCAAAGUGAUGGUGGGGGCGGAAUUUCAAAGAUGCUGUCCUGAGACUCAAAGGAGCUGCCUUGGACUUCUGUGGGAACAGACGCAGAGGAAAAGAGUACUUUUGAAUGGUUUGGUAUCCCGGGAGCAUGCUAAAGUAUCAAAACAAGCUCUGAGGAAAUUGCUGUGUCCUGAAACGCAGUCAUUAUUUCAAAGCAAGAAACAUGAAAGAGUCACAAGGAGAUGGCUGAGUGCUAAGUCAUGAAGGUAACAUGCACAUGUCAUCUUGGGGGAAAACAGAUUCUGUCAGAAAAGAUCUUUGCCUUUCUUUCUGACUUGUCAUACAGAUGUGAGGUAUAAACAAAGCGUAAUCAAAAGGGACUUAAAUCAGGAAUAAACUGAUAUAUGACUCUUCAUGAAAUAUUCCUAUCUUCACAGCUAUUGUGCUCUUUAUCUAAUUUCCCUGGCUAUCUGAUCAGAGCUGUUUAUUUCACUGUUGAAUUAUUGCUGAAGUCUGAGAGGGCGCUGCUUUAAACAAUGGAGCUGGUCAACAGUGUUAGCAAUUCAUUUCCAUAGUAUCUAGUUCUGUUUGGGGCUGCAAAGGCUGGGUUUGCCCUUGGAGCUUUCUCUCAUUCCAGAAAACUUUUGUGGAUAUGACCAGAAGGGCUCCAGAGUUUAAUGAAGGCAAGACAUAUACAUUAGGGUUUUUUUUGUGAAAGUGCACUUGAUAUUGCUUUAGAAUAUGCAUUUGAUGCUGGUGGCUGUUAAAUUUGAAUUAUAAGGCUACUUUAGUCCUGAUAUAGUUGAAAGUGUCCCUGCCCAUGGCAAAGAAAUUUGACAGGUUUUCUCCAAUGGUCCCUUCUAACCCAAACUGUGAAUUCACUGUUCUGUGAUUGUGUGAAUAAAAAGGAGAAACUUCCAA